UAAAGAGGAAUACCACUAAAUUGUAAUAUUAAGUAACAACUUGAUGAUGAUAUUUAAACAUCUGUGGUGACAUUUAACCUUUUCAUGUAUGGUUUAAAUUUACUAUUAGAAAAUAUAAUACGAUAUGUUAUACUAUACCAAAAUUACCCAUGGAAAUGGAAUUAUUCAAGUGUGACUUUUAAAUGGUCUUCACAAUUAUAAUAAGAGGUUCAAAAACUUGAAUUAAGCAGGACUCGCCUCCAUUUGAGGAAUAGCUUUGCUUGCACAUAAUAAUAAUGCGAUUAAUUAGUAGAUAAAUAUUUGGUAUAUUAAAUGGAGCUAUAUACAAUGUCAUGCUUUAGCACUAACAUCCCCAAGUAGAAAUCUAUCUCCCGAACUUGUCUUUCCGUUCAAUAUUGGAUGGCCGCUCUAUAUAAAUAUAUGAUUUCCUUUCCCUUGUGAGAUUUUUUUUAAAUAAUUUUUAUUUAAAGGACACAUUUUGGUGCUCAUUCCUUGACUUUCCUCAAUGAUCCAGAUCUUCUAUAUUUUAGUACAUCAUUCAUCAAUCAUCAUUGAAGAAAAUAGGACAAAUCCAAAACCACUUAAGACAUCCAAUUGUAGUCAAAUAAUUUCAAAUUUGGGUGAUUUUUUGUACACACACACACACACAUAUACAUAUGAAUAUGAACCCCUUUCGUUGAGGGAUCCCUUAAAUAGCUUUGUUUGAGAGACAUCUUUUAGUGUCCAAUCCUCAAUGUAUUUCACGAUCCAACCAUUUAUCUUUAAGGUCUUCUUUAAGGAUCAUCUUUAUAAAAAAAUUACUCAAACCGAACAAUAGGACCGUUGGAUUAAAUGAUAGCUAUUUUAGUGUUUCUUUGAAGAAUGGCAUAUCAGAUAUUCAGAGAGAUGGGCUACUGGCCCACUCCUAACUACACAGAUAUUGUCUCAACUUAACCACCUAUUGCUAGAUAUUGAGUUUUAUCACAAAAUACCUCACUGUUAUUAGGGAUGGCAACGGUUCGGUUUGG
rnacentral:lncRNA from 1 species